AGUGAACGCUGGCGGUAGGCCUAACACAUGCAAGUCGAACGGCAGCACAGGAGAGCUUGCUCUCUGGGUGGCGAGUGGCGGACGGGUGAGGAAUACAUCGGAAUCUACUCUGUCGUGGGGGAUAACGUAGGGAAACUUACGCUAAUACCGCAUACGACCUACGGGUGAAAGCAGGGGACCUUCGGGCCUUGCGCGAUUGAAUGAGCCGAUGUCGGAUUAGCUAGUUGGCGGGGUAAAGGCCCACCAAGGCGAAGAUCCGUAGCUGGUCUGAGGGGAUGAUCCGCCACACUGGCACUAAGACACGGUCCAGACUCCUACGGGAGGUAGCCGUUGGGAAUAUUGGAAGAUGGACGCAAGCCUGCUCCAGCCAUACCGCGUGGGUGAAGAAGGCCUUCGGUUUGUACAGCCCUUUUGUUGGGAAAAUAAUCCAGCUGGCUAAUACCCGGUUGGGAUGACGGUACCCAAAGAAUAAGCACCGGCUAACUUCGUGCCAGCAGCCGCCGUAA
rnacentral:rRNA from 1 species